UGUCAUUGCAACUUGUAGAGUGUAGUGUAGAGGGGACGGAAGCAGGCGUUGUUACUGAAAUAGCAAUAUUAUUGGCGUUGAAAUAUCACUUUCUGUUAAUAUUGCUAUGACGUGACAUGUCGGAUGCUGUUGAAAUUAUGAAUGAAAUACUUCUUCGCUACACUCAGUUUAGACCUUGAUGUGAUCUAGAUCUAGAAUUUAGGGCAUUCUAGGCCAAUCUAGAAUCUAAUCAUCUAGGGCUAUACUUUUGUGAUCUGCCGCUUGCUCAGUUGCUGUUCAUUUUGAGAAAGCUGUACAGAAUGGAGUUGGAAACAGAUGUGUUAGCUGCAGUUUCAUCUACUGUAGAUAUACAGUCAAAUGAACUAACAGAAUUUUCAUCUUCUGAAGAUUUGAAACCAGAUAUAUCAACUGUAUUAUUAUCAUCUCCUGAAUUAUCAACAUUUUUAAAUUUCCAGGAUAUAAAACCUGACAUGACAUUUAAAACGCCUCAAGAUGUUAAACCUGAUUUUACAACAGAAUUUUCUUAUUCUGAUGACAUAAAACCAGAAUUAUCAUUUUUUGAUUUCCAGGAUAUAAAACCAAACAAGUCAUUUAAUACUUCUCAAAAUGUUAAACCUGAUGUUGCAACAGAAUGUUCUUCUUCUGAAGACAUAAAAGCAGAAUUCUCAACAUUGUUUUUUUCCCAAGAUAUUAAACCUGACAUUACAGACAAAACUUCUCAAGUUGUUAAACCUGAUAUUACAAUUGAAAAAAGUAAUAAGAAACCUGCUGCAACAGCAGUAUUUUCAACAUCAGAAAAUUUAAAACCAGAAUUUUCAACUCCUGAAAAUUUAAGACAAGAUUUCACAACAGGAUUUUUAUUUUUUGAGGAUAAGCAACUUGGACUUGAACAAAAUCUACAACUGUCUAGGGACGAACCCAACAAGCUAGUUUAUUAUCAUCAAGCAUUUUCUAGAAGUUCUAAUAUUAAGAUGCAUAAAAAAGUUCAUUCAGGAGAUAAACCACAUGAAUGUGAUGUUUGUCAUAAAAGGUUUUCUCGAAGUUAUAUAUUAAGAAAACAUAAAAAGGUUCAUUCAGGAGAAAAGCCAUAUGAAUGUGAUGUUUGUCAUAAAAGGUUUUCUCAAAGAUAUGUUUUAGGAAGACAUAAAACUGUUCAUUCAGGAGGAAGGCCAUAUGAGUGUGAUGUUUGUUAUAAAAGGUUUUCUCAAAAUUAUAAUUUAAUAACACAUAAAAAGAUUCAUUCAGGAGAUAAACCACAUGAAUGUGGUGUUUGUCAUAAAAGGUUUUCUCAAAAAUCUAACUUAACAAAACAUAAAAAGGUUCAUUCAGGAGAAAGGCCAUAUGAGUUUGAUGUUUGUCAUAAAAGGUUUUCUCACAGUUCUAUGUUAACACAACAUAAAGAGGUUCAUUCAGGAGAAAGGCCACAUCAAUGUGAUGUUUGUCAUAAAAGGUUUUCUCAAAGUUCUAUGUUAACACAACAUAAAAAGGUUCAUUCAGGAGAAAGGCCACAUGAAUGUGAUGUUUGUCAUAAAAGGUUUUCUCAAAGUUCUAACUUAACACAACAUAAAAAUGUUCAUUCAGGAGAAAGGCCAUAUGAAUGUGAUAUUUGUCAUAAAAGGUUUUCUCGCAGUUCUACUUUAGCACAACAUAAAAAGGUUCAUUCAGGAGAAAGGUCACAUGAAUGUGAUGUUUGUCAUACAAGGUUUUCUCGCAGUUCUGGUUUAGCACAACAUAAAAAGGUUCAUUCAGGAGAAGGGUCACAUGAAUGUGAUGUUUGUCAUACAAGGUUUUCUCGCAGUUCUUGUUUAGCACAACAUAAAAAGGUUCAUUCAGGAGAAGGGCCACAUGAAUGUGAUGUUUGUCAUAAAAGGUUUUCUCAAAGUUCUAACUUAACACAACAUAAAAAUGUUCAUUCAGGAGAAAGGCCAUAUGAAUGUGAUGUUUGUCAUAAAAGGUUUUCUCAAAGUUCUACUUUAGCACAACAUAAAAAGGUUCAUUCAGGAGAAAGGUCACAUGAAUGUGAUGUUUGUCAUACAAGGUUUUCUCGCAGUUCUGGUUUAGCACAACAUAAAAAGGUUCAUUCAGGAGAAGGGUCACAUGAAUGUGAUGUUUGUCAUAAAAGGUUUUCUCCCAGUUCUAGUUUAACACGACAUAAAAAGGUUCAUUCAGGAGAAAGGCCACAUGAAUGUGAUGUUUGUCAUAAAAGGUUUUCUCAAAGUUCUAAUUUAAGAAAACAUAAAAAGCUUCAUUCCGGAGAAAGGCCAUAUGAACCUGACGAUCGUCAUAAAAACUUGAUGGAGAAGAAAGAUUUAUAACGAAGUAAAGUUAUUCAUUCUGGAGAUAAGCCAUUUGAAUCUGAUGUCUGCCUUAAAAGAUUCCCAUAUAGUUCUUAUGUUCUUAUCUAGAAGAACAUAAAAAAUUUUAUUCAGGAGAAUACCCAUAUGAAUGUGAUGCUUGUCAUAAAAGGUUUUCACAAAGUUCUAAUUUAAGAAAAAAAAAAUAUUCAUUCAGGAGAAAGGCCACAAUAUUGUGGCUUUUGUCAUAAAACCUUUGUGGUAAAGAAAGAUCUAUAACUACAUAAAAUUACUCAUUCUGGCAAGGUUCCCACACAGCCGGGGAAAAACUGGGAAUUUUAAAAUUUAAUUUACUUGCCGGAAAUUUUAAUGAAUAGCCAGGAAAUAUCUAAAAAAAAAAAAACAGGAAAUAUUGCUUCCCGGCCUUUUUUUCCCGGUCUAUCCAAUUGCUAGUCUCGCUGCGUCUCGUGAUCUAGCUCUGGGGCCUAAAAUUACUCUUACCAAUUCUCAUGUUGCCUUUUACCAUUAAUCAAAAAAUUGUAACAACUGGAGUAAAUAGGGCUUUCAUAAACUCACUGUGACCCCAAGUAGGCCCAUGCGAUCAUACAGGCAUUUUGUUUUUUUUUGGGGGGGGGGGGGGAUGAUACACUGCCUUCAUCAGCUGUCUUAAAUAGCUAUUUAUGUUAGAACCUAUUCUAUAUUGUUGUUUUUUGUUUUUUUUUUCAAGUUUUUAUUUUGUUUUAAAAUAUGAUUUAUUUGAAAUUUUUAAAAAUAGGCCCUAGGAUCUAAUUUCAGUUGUUCUGGUUGAUCUCAUUGUAUAUCAAACUAAAAUGCUAAACUUAAUGUAAGGUAUUAAUUAGUACAAAAAUAGCAUGAGGGAUAUUUUUCAAAGGUCUUGUCUUUAAGCAAAUUACUUGCUGUUUUCAGUUUGUUGUUUGUAUGAAUAACUGCACACUUUUGGCUGACUACACACAUUAUUGAACUUGACCUCAAUAUAUGAAAUGCUAAAAUUAAGCAAAUUAUUUGCUGUUUUCAUUUUUGGGUUGUUCUUUGCGUGAAUAACUACACACUUUUGGUUUACUACACACAUUAUUGAACUCAAUAUAUGAAAUGCUAAAAUUAAAUACUUAGAUAUGUUACAAACUGCAGUGUACAUAUCUACACCUUUUUAUAUUUGGUUUCAAAGUGUUUAUACUAACAGCUUAACUCACGAUAUUCAUAUUAAUUGUAUUAACAAACAGUUGUUUUGUAUUGGGGGAUGUUCUAGAAAUGGAAUAUUACAUUAUUGGAUCUAGAUGGGUUUAUUAUUUUAAACUAUUUUUGUUAAAUGCUUAAAAAAUUUCGGAUGCGACAUCAAGUUUCAGGGUUUAAAAAUUUCAGUUUUGGGAUUGAAUUUUAGGAUAUGAUUCACUUAAAAAAUAAGUGGCACCCCUAAAAAUGUCUGCUAUUUGUGCUUUAAUUAAAUUUAAUUCAGCCGGUUUAUGUUCAAUAAAAAUGCGCUAGUUGGGAAUUUCUUUAAAUAGCAUUGAAUUUAUACUUGAAAAAUUUGUGAAUUUCUUGGAAUAGCAGUGUAUUUUCUGGUCAAAAAAUUGUGGGAAUACUUUUCUGGAUAAAAACAGUCAAUCAGGAGAAAAGGCACAUAAAUGUGAUGGUUGUUGCAAAAACUUUGCGAAGAAGAAGGGUCUAUUAUGAGAAAAAAAUGUUCAUUCUGGAAGUAAGCCAUAUGAAUGUGAUGUUUUUCAUAAAAGGUUUGCUGGGAAGUGUGAUUUAUGAAGACAUAAUUUUGUUCAUUUGGGAAAUAAUCCACAUGAAUGUAAUGUUUGUCCUAAAUGAUUCACUCAGAAUAGUAGUAUUAGUAGUUUAACUACACAUAAUAAACUUCAUACAAGAUCUAAACUACAUGAACAUGAUGUUUGCCAAGAAAGGUUUACUCACAGUUUUUAUUUAACUAUACAUAAAGAAGCUCAUACAGGAGACAAGCUACAUAAUCAUUUGAAUGUGAUAUUUGGCACAAAGUUUUCUCAAUAUAAAUGAAUAAUUUAUUACGACCUAUAAGUGUUCAUACAGGUUAUAAGCCAUAUGUAUGUGUUGUUGGACUUGGACAUAAAAGAUUAUCUUAAAAAUCUUAUUUAAGUACACAUGAAAAAGUUAAUUUAGGAGAGAAGCUACAUGAAUCUGGUAUAUAUCACAAAAGAUUUUCUCAAAGUCUUAGUCUAAAUGUACAUUAGAAAAUUCAGUCAGGAGAGAAGUAACAUGAAUGUUAUAUUUAUCACAAAAGAUCUUCUCAAAUAUCUAAUUUUAAUACUCAUAAAUAAUUCAUUCUUGAGGUAAUCCAGGAAAUUCAUCAUGACUUAAAAUCAAGUUAAUGUAAUUUUUUAACAAAAUUAAUAUAAUUCUAGAGCAAAUUAUUAUUAUUGAAUAUCUUGUUACAAUUUUUUUUCUCUUCAGAAAACUUUAACUAGUGGCCAUCCAAUAGUGGUCCAUAGUUUAUUAAUUUUAAUAUUUGUAUUAUGAAAAGGUUGCUUUGUCAAAGAGCAUACCACAUCAAUUAUUAUACAUACUCUAUAAAGAAAUUGUAUUCUGACUGUAAAAGGAAAUAGCAUUCUAUUAUGUCAGCUGCAUGUGUACAAUUUUUUCUUUAUGUGGCCUACUUCUUUUUGUGUUUUUUGUAAAUAUGUAUGAUAGAAGAAGUAAGCUAUAACUUUAGAAACCCAGGGUUUUCUUUUUAUACCUGCAUGGUUUUGUUCAGGUCACACAGUUAAUUUGCCUGCUCUUUUCAAAUUAUAUAAAACGAGAAAAAAGGAUACAACGGGCGCUAGGUUGAUAGUGCCUUCUAUUUUCUCUAAACUAAAACCAAAACCAAAAUCACCACCUUAAUUUAAUUUAACCGAAAACGAAAAACGAUAUUGAAAACGGAUUUUUAAUCAGAAUCGGUACUUUAAUUUAUACAAAAUAUAGUCAUAGGCAUAUCCCUAAAUCAUGCACCUAAUCUCAUUCAUGACAAAAGUCGCAUUUAGAGUUUCUUUCAGGCAACUCUACUUGGGAGGAGGAGGCUCCACCCACCCCCCCCCCACCCCCCCCCCCCCAAACAUGUCUACCAUCCCAUUCAACGAAAUAUAAUUAUAUACUUAUUAUUGACAAUUCACAUUCAUUGGGGCAAGGGAGUUUACCAAUUCUGUACUGUAACACAAUUCACAUUUAUAACUUUACACAUUUACACUACUCACAAACAGCUCAGUCAGACAUACAGAAACAUGACAGAAUAUCAGGUUGACAGUUAAUACUACCUCCAUUAGACAAGUACAAUGACAUCAGGCCGGCAGUACAGUGACAUCAAAACUUCUGAGCAGACAUUUUUUUUUGUAAAAACGUUUUCAUCAUUUGCGAAUUGACCUUAAUCAUUAUAUUGAGAAGUAUAAAAUCUUAAAUCAUAUGAUCAGAUUAUACUGGCUGCAAUGUAAAACUCAAACUGUGAAAACUGGCUGCCAUGAAAAAAUUAAAAAAUUUUUCUAAUAUUUGUCCUUGAGAUGUAUUUAUUGUCUUCACUAAUGCAGAUAUAAUUGUAAAUUAAAUUUAGAUUGAAUUUAAAAUGGUAAUUUAGUACCUGGAUAAGUUUAAAUUCUACUAGGAACCAAGUUCUUUAUGGUGUGCAGAUCCUGUUAAAAUUUUACAAUCAAUAGCAUAAAGGUGUAUAAACAAGGUGCCCAUUAUUGUUCCAUUUACUUGAUUGACUAAAUUUAACUUGUAUCUGUUGUGAUCAGUAAAAUGAUGCAAUUUACUUUCUAUGUAAACUUAUGCUGUGAAAAUUAAACUUCUACUUUCAUUGUUUGACAUUAUUUUAUUCAUCCCAUUUAGGAACCCUUCCUCCCCCUCCCCCUAUUUACAUGUCUUAUGGAAUUAGCCUCAAGUUUCAAGUUAGUCCCAAUCAUUGUUAAGGCUUAUGGUUACUUCCUAACUUUUGCUAGAUGAAUGUUUUUUAUUUUAUAAAAUUAAAUGCAUUUGUUACAUGUUAUAUGUAGAUUUUAUCUUUCUACACUUCUUGUCAAAUAUCUGCUAAAUCUCAGACCUCUCUUUAUGCAAUGUGUUAAAAAAUAAUUUUCUUCAGAUAUUCAUAUAGGUAUAGAAUUUAGAGAUUAACACAUUUAGAGAUUAAACAUUUAUUUAAAAAAAACAAACAUAAAAAUUAUAAAUUUGAAUAAAAGAAUGACUAAGGCUGCAACUGUUACAUUUCUGGAUGUUAGUUUAAACGUAAUGUUAUUUUUGGUUAGUUGUUAUUUAA